AAUAAAUUUUAGCUAAAAUGUUCAUAGUUUCCCAAAGAAUGGGAACAAAAAUUCUGCUUACCUCACUGGCUUCAUUGGAUUUUAUUCCGUCUUCUGCCUAUCGGAGUCACGUGACACACCCUGAGACUGUGACCUUUAUAUUGGUUCUAACCAGAAAAGGGAGAGCAUCCAUCUCCACAAUCGCUACAGAGCUCCUAGUACGAUUCACUGGGGCUGCCCCAGAGGAGUUAACCCAGACUUCAGGAUUUCCUGACAUGCAGAAUAGUUUUUCUUUUUUGUUUUUUUUCUUUUUUUUGGGACAAAGUUUUACUCUUGUUGCCCAGGCUGGAGUGCAAUGGCGUGAGCUCAGCUCAUUGCAAUCUCCGCCUCCUGGGUUCAAAUGAUUCUUCUGCCUCAGCCACCUGAGUAGCUGAGAUUACAGGCGCCCGCCACCAUACCCAGCUAAUUUUUGUGUUUUUAGUAGAGACAGGGUUUCACCAUGUUGGUCAGGCUGGUCUUGAACUCCUGACCUCAGGUGAUCCACCCGCCUCAGCCUCCCAAAAUACUGGGAUUACAGGUAUGAGCCACUGCACCCAGCCCCAGAAUAGUUUUUCAUGUGUUGAUGCUCACCUCACACCCAGUUAUGAUUUACUAGACUGUAAACUUAGAAGAAACCAAAACUAUAAAGAAAUUUAAAUCCAUCUUCUUUUUCUCCAUCUCUACCAGACUGCUUCACCCUAAUCCUUUACCUUGUUUUGCCUGGGGCAUUAUAAUUACUGUCUCCAUUACUGCUGGAAUGACCUUUCUAACGUGUGGAAGAUAAGGCCCAAUAUUCUCCACAUGGAAUCCAAGGUUUCUUGUGACCAGAUGUCUGCAUUUGCUUUCUCACCAGUUUCUAGAUUGCAUUUUGCUUCCCAAAAUUCCAAGCUAUCAUGCCUACAUAGAUGUGUACGCGUCUGUGCCUUUGCUUAUGCUCUUCUUUCUUUGUGAAUUGUCCUUCUCAGUUGUAUUUGCUAAACUCCUAUGUAUACUUCAAAACUCAGGUUAGGCAUCACCUCUCCUGGCCUCCUCAGGCUGAGCUCAGUGUCCUCAAAUCUCUGUUUCCAUUGCCCCUAUAUAUUUGAUUGUUUAUCACAUUUAAUGUUUUUUUCUUUUUCUUGAGAUGGAGUCUCACUCUGUCGGCAGGCUGGAGGGCAGUGGCUCCAUCUCUGCUCACUGCAACUUCCGCUUCCCAGGUUCAAGUGAUUCUCCUGCCUCAGCCUCCCGAGUAGCUGGGACUACAGGUGCCCACCACCAUGCCCGGCUAAUUUUUGUAUUUUUAGUAGAGACGGGGUUUCACCAUGUUGGCCAGGAUGGUCUUGAUCUCUUGACCUUGUGAUCCACCCACCUCGGGCUCCCAAAGUACUGAGAUUACAGGCAUGAGCCACCACAGCUGGCUUAAAUUUUUUUUUUUUUCAUUUUGUCUCUCUGCCCCAAAGAAAUUCUAUGUGCUAUAUUCAUUAAUCCCUAGCAUAGGAUCUCACAUAGACAUUAGAUAAACAUUAAACUUACUAAAAUCUCGCUAAUUUUUAGAUAAGGAGAAUGCAAUUUUUAUGCAUUGAGCACCCCCAAUUUCCUCUGGCAAAUUAAAGAUGUUACUUAGUUUGUAACAAUUCAGAAAACUUUAACUAUGGUAGCUCCAAUUGCACAAUUGGUUGGCACCAGGUACUUACAAAACAGAAAGCUUCAAUUCAUGGAAACCUAGAGCACUGCAUUACAAUGAUCACUGGUGCUGUUAAUUGUAACUCUCUGGAAUAGAAACACGUGACAUUAGCCAAUAACCAUGGUCUCUUAUGAUGAGCUGCCUACUUCGUAUAGAGAUGGCUCUCGUUGUUAUCAACGUCGUUUUCAAGCCUCCAAGUUGCUUGUACAUGUUAUGCGACUUACCUUAUUCAGAAUCCAGAAGGCCACAAAUGUCUGGGAAUGUUCAUGACUGAGUGAAUAAAACUGUUCUAAAGAAUAAUUUUUAAAAUUCUUCUGGUUGGUACAAAUAGGAAACACUGUUUAGUUGCAAUCACCAAAUUAAGGUAGACAAACAGGUCUGGAGGCCCAAAGUCCAAAAGCGAGGUGUCACCAGAGCCAUGGCCCCUCCUGAGAUCCUAGGGGAAAACCCACUCCUUUUUUCCUCUCGUUCCUGGUGGCCACAUCACUACAAUCUCUGCCUCCAUGGUCACAUGCCCUCUUCCUCUUGUGUGUGUGU
rnacentral:lncRNA from 10 species